rnacentral:rRNA from 1 species
GGAGCUUGCUCCACCGGAAAAAGAAGAGUGGCGAACGGGUGAGUAACACGUGGGUAACCUGCCCAUCAGAAGGGGAUAACACUUGGAAACAGGUGCUAAUACCGUAUAACAAUCGAAACCGCAUGGUUUUGAUUUGAAAGGCGCUUUCGGGUGUCGCUGAUGGAUGGACCCGCGGUGCAUUAGCUAGUUGGUGAGGUAACGGCUCACCAAGGCCACGAUGCAUAGCCGACCUGAGAGGGUGAUCGGCCACAUUGGGACUGAGACACGGCCCAAACUCCUACGGGAGGCAGCAGUAGGGAAUCUUCGGCAAUGGACGAAAGUCUGACCGAGCAACGCCGCGUGAGUGAAGAAGGUUUUCGGAUCGUAAAACUCUGUUGUUAGAGAAGAACAAGGAUGAGAGUAACUGUUCAUCCCUUGACGGUAUCUAACCAGAAAGCCACGGCUAACUACGUGCCAGCAGCCGCGGUAAUACGUAGGUGGCAAGCGUUGUCCGGAUUUAUUGGGCGUAAAGCGAGCGCAGGCGGUUUCUUAAGUCUGAUGUGAAAGCCCCCGGCUCAACCGGGGAGGGUCAUUGGAAACUGGGAGACUUGAGUGCAGAAGAGGAGAGUGGAAUUCCAUGUGUAGCGGUGAAAUGCGUAGAUAUAUGGAGGAACACCAGUGGCGAAGGCGGCUCUCUGGUCUGUAACUGACGCUGAGGCUCGAAAGCGUGGGGAGCAAACAGGAUUAGAUACCCUGGUAGUCCACGCCGUAAACGAUGAGUGCUAAGUGUUGGAGGGUUUCCGCCCUUCAGUGCUGCAGCUAACGCAUUAAGCACUCCGCCUGGGGAGUACGACCGCAAGGUUGAAACUCAAAGGAAUUGACGGGGGCCCGCACAAGCGGUGGAGCAUGUGGUUUAAUUCGAAGCAACGCGAAGAACCUUACCAGGUCUUGACAUCCUUUGACCACUCUAGAGAUAGAGCUUCCCCUUCGGGGGCAAAGUGACAGGUGGUGCAUGGUUGUCGUCAGCUCGUGUCGUGAGAUGUUGGGUUAAGUCCCGCAACGAGCGCAACCCUUAUUGUUAGUUGCCAUCAUUCAGUUGGGCACUCUAGCAAGACUGCCGGUGACAAACCGGAGGAAGGUGGGGAUGACGUCAAAUCAUCAUGCCCCUUAUGACCUGGGCUACACACGUGCUACAAUGGGAAGUACAACGAGUCGCGAAGUCGCGAGGCUAAGCUAAUCUCUUAAAGCUUCUCUCAGUUCGGAUUGUAGGCUGCAACUCGCCUACAUGAAGCCGGAAUCGCUAGUAAUCGCGGAUCAGCACGCCGCGGUGAAUACGUUCCCGGGCCUUGUACACACCGCC